UGCAAGUCGCACGCACCUUCGGGUGAGUGGCGCACGGCUGAGGAACACGUGGCUAACCUGCCCAUGAGUGGGGGAUAACGGGCCGAAAGGCUCGCUAAUCCCGCAUACGAUCCGCGCAAGUGGAGGAAAGCCGUAAGGCGCUCAUGGAGGGGGCCGCGCCCCAUUAGAUCGUUGGUGUGGUAAUGGCGCACCAAGUCUGUGAUGGGUUCCGGGUCUGAGAGGACGAUCCGGCAGACUGGGACUGAGACACGGCCCAGACUCCUGCGGGGGGCAGCAGCAAGGAAUUUUCCCCAAUGGGCGCAAGCCUGAGGGAGCAACGCCGCGUGGAGGAUGACGGCUUUCGGGUUGUAAACUCCUUUUUAUGGGGACGAUAAUGACGGUACCCAUGGAAUAAGCCCCGGCUAACUACGUGCCAGCAGCCGCGGUAAUACGUAGGGGGCAAGCGUUGUCCGGACUUACUGGGCGUAAAGCGCGUGCAGGCGGAUGUGUAUGUGCCGUGUGAAAGCUCUCGGCUUGCCCGGGAGAGGUCGCGGUAGACAGCUCAUCUGGAGGCUCGGAGAGGUCAGUGGAAUUCCCGGUGUAGUGGUGAAAUGCGUAGAUAUCGGGAGGAACACCAGUGGCGCAAGCGGCUGACUGGCCGAGACCUGACGCUGAGACGCGACGGCGUGGGGAGCAAACCGGAUUAGAUACCCGGGUAGUCCACGCAGUAAACGAUGCACACCCGGUGUCGGACCGACCGUCAUGGUCGGUGCGGUGCCCAAGCUUACGCGAUGAGUGUGCCGCCUGGGGACUACGAGCGCAAGCUUAAAACUCAAAGGAAUUGACGGGGGCC
rnacentral:rRNA from 1 species